GACUCCCUGGGGCGUUGGUGGGUGUGACCCGUGAAGAACCAACGUGAAUGACUUGGGAGCUGAAGCCCGAUGUGCGAACGCCACGCCCCCUCCGGGGGGAUCGCGGAAGCGGCGGUGACGGUUCCCGCCUUGCUGAGCAAGGUUCAUUCACGACGCACUCACGGCGCUCUGGGGAGUCU
rnacentral:other from 1 species